rnacentral:rRNA from 1 species
GAGUAGGGCGGGACACGAGGAAUCCUGUCUGAAUCCGGGUCGACCACGAUCCAACCCUAAAUACUAAUACCAGAUCGAUAGUGCACAAGUACCGUGAGGGAAAGGUGAAAAGAACUGAGGUGAUCAGAGUGAAAUAGAACCUGAAACCAUUUGCUUACAAUCAUUCAGAGCACUAUGUAGCAAUACAGUGUGAUGGACUGCCUUUUGCAUAAUGAGCCUGCGAGUUGUGGUGUCUGGCAAGGUUAAGCAAACGCGAAGCCGUAGCGAAAGCGAGUCUGAAUAGGGCGCUUAGUCAGAUGCUGCAGACCCGAAACGAAGUGAUCUAUCCAUGAGCAAGUUGAAGCUAGUGUAAGAACUAGUGGAGGACUGAACCCAUAGGCGUUGAAAAGCCCCGGGAUGACUUGUGGAUAGGGGUGAAAGGCCAAUCAAACUUCGUGAUAGCUGGUUCUCUCCGAAAUAUAUUUAGGUAUAGCGUUGUGUCGUAAUAUAAGGGGGUAGAGCACUGAAUGGGCUAGGGCAUACACCAAUGUACCAAACC